GUCCUCCGCAUUGGAACGUCCAUCUCGGUUGGAUCGGGGGCGGCUACUUUGUUUUGGUUCGAUCGUUGGGCUGGUGACUCCCCCUUGGCGGCCCGCUUCGCCGACCUCUUCUCCAUCGCUGUCGCCCCCACGAUCUCUAUAGAGAGGGCCCUUAUUGAGUUAGGGCGCCUCACCUUUCGGAGGCCAUUUGGGCCUCUGGAGGCCGCCGCUUGGCAGGAGCUGCUUGACUGCAUCGCCCUUCACGAGCCAGCUCGAGCCUUCGGGCCAAUUCUCCACCAAGUCCCUCUAUUUGUCCAUCGCCCCCUCGUCCGCUCCGGUCCCCCUUUCGGCGGUGUGGCCCAUCUGUUUGCCACUGAAAAUCAGGAUUUUCAUGUGGCAAUGGAUCCGCAGACGGCUCCCGUCUGGGGUGGAGGUUCGCAGGAGCAACGGUCCUGGGUCUGGCCUCCGCCCGCUUUGUGGUACCCCCGAAGAUUCCAAUCGCAUCUUCUUCUCAUGUGUGUCCGCCCAAUUCGUGUGGAGCUGCUUUAG
rnacentral:rRNA from 1 species